UAUCCAGACUCCUACGGGAGGCAGCAGUGAGGAAUAUUGGUCAAUGGGCGAGAGCCUGAACCAGCCAAGUCGCGUGAGGGAAGACGGUCCUAUGGCUUGUAAACCUCUUUUGCCGGGGAGCAAAAAGCGGUACGUGUACCGCAUCGAGAGUACCCGGAGAAAAAGCAUCGGCUAACUCCGUGCCAGCAGCCGCGGUAAUACGGAGGAUGCGAGCGUUAUCCGGAUUUAUUGGGUUUAAAGGGUGCGUAGGCGGGCAUUUAAGCCGGCGGUCAAAUGUCGGGGCUCAACCCCGGCCUGCCGUCGGAACUGGGUGCCUUGAGUGGGCGAGAAGUAUGCGGAAUGCGUGGUGUAGCGGUGAAAUGCAUAGAUAUCACGCAGAACCCCGAUUGCGAAGGCAGCAUACCGGCGCCCUACUGACGCUGAGGCACGAAAGCGUGGGGAUCGAACAGGAUUAGAUACCCCCGUACCC
rnacentral:rRNA from 1 species